rnacentral:rRNA from 1 species
ACGAACGCUGGCGGCGUGCUUAACACAUGCAAGUCGAACGGAAAGGCCCUGCUUUUGUGGGGUGCUCGAGUGGCGAACGGUUGAUUAACACGUGAGUAACCUGCCCUUGACUUUGGUAUAACUUCAUGAAACUGGGGCUAAUACCGUAUAUGAGCUCCUGCUGCAUGGUGGGGGUUGGAAAGUUUCGGCGGUUGGUGAUGGACGGGCGGCUUAUCUGCUUGUUGGUGGGGUAGUGGCUUACCAAGGCUUUGACGGGUAGCCGGCCUGAGAGGGUGAACGGGCACAAUGGGACUGAGAUACGGACCAGAAUGCAACGGGAGGCAGCAGGGGGGAAUAUUGCACAAUGGGCGGAAGCGUGAUGCAGAAACGCCGCGUGCGGGAUGACGGCCUUCGGGUUGUAAACCGCUUUAGCCUGAGACGAAGCGGGAGUGACGGUAAUGGGUAAAGAAGCACCGGCUAACUACGUG